rnacentral:rRNA from 1 species
AUGAACGCUGGCAGCGUGCCUAAUACAUGCAAGUCGAGCGAACAGACGAGGAGCUUGCUCCUCUGACGUUAGCGGCGGACGGGUGAGUAACACGUGGAUAACCUACCUAUAAGACUGGGAUAACUUCGGGAAACCGGAGCUAAUACCGGAUAAUAUAUUGAACCGCAUGGUUCAAUAGUGAAAGACGGUUUUGCUGUCACUUAUAGAUGGAUCCGCGCCGCAUUAGCUAGUUGGUAAGGUAACGGCUUACCAAGGCGACGAUGCGUAGCCGACCUGAGAGGGUGAUCGGCCACACUGGAACUGAGACACGGUCCAGACUCCUACGGGAGGCAGCAGUAGGGAAUCUUCCGCAAUGGGCGAAAGCCUGACGGAGUAACGCCGCGUGAGUGAUGAAGGUCUUCGGAUCGUAAAACUCUGUUAUUAGGGAAGAACAAAUGUGUAAGUAACUAUGCACGUCUUGACGGUACCUAAUCAGAAAGCCACGGCUAACUACGUG